UACAGAGGUCCCAAGCGUUGUUCGGAUUCACUGGGCGUAAAGGGCGCGUAGGCGGCCACCGCAAGUCGACUGUGAAAUCUCCGGGCUUAACCCGGAAAAGGUCAGCCGAUACUGCGGGGCUAGAGUGCAGAAGGGGCAACUGGAAUUCUCGGUGGUAGCGGUGAAAUGCGUAGAGUAUCGAGAGGAACACCUGCGGCGAAGGCGGGUUGCUGGGCUGACACUGACGCUGAGGCGCGAAAGCUAGGGGAGCGAACGGG
rnacentral:rRNA from 1 species